GGCGGCAGGCCUAACACAUGCAAGUCGAGCGCCGUAGCAAUACGGAGCGGCAGACGGGAGAGUAACACGUGGGAACGUGCCCUUCAGUUCGGAACAACCCAGGGAAACUUGGGCUAAUACCGGAUACGUCCGUAAGGAGAAAGAUUUAUCGCUGAAGGAUCGGCCCGCGUCUGAUUAGCUAGUUGGUGAGGUAACGGCUCACCAAGGCGACGAUCAGUAGCUGGUCUGAGAGGAUGAUCAGCCUCACUGGGACUGAGACACGGCCCAGACUCCUACGGGAGGCAGCAGUGGGGAAUAUUGGACAAUGGGCGCAAGCCUGAUCCAGCCAUGCCGCGUGGAUGAUGAAGGCCCUAGGGUUGUAAAGUCCUUUCGGCGGGGAAGAUAAUGACGGUACCCGCAGAAGAAGCCCCGGCUAACUUCGUGCCAGCAG
rnacentral:rRNA from 1 species